rnacentral:rRNA from 1 species
ACGGCUCAGUAACACGUGGCUAACCUGCCCUCGGGACGGGGACACCCCCGGGAAACUGGGGUUAAUCCCCGAUAGGUGAAGAACUCUGGAAUGAGUCUCCGCCCAAAAGGCGCUUGCGCUAUGCUCGUAGGCGUCGCCCAAGGAUGGGGCCGCGUCCGAUCAGGUUGUUGGUGAGGUAACGGCUCACCAAGCCUUUUACCGGUGCGGGCCGUGGGAGCGGGAGCCCGGAGAUGGGCACUGAGACAAGGGCCCAGGCCCUACGGGGCGCAGCAGUCGCGAAAACUUUGCAAUACACGAAAGUGUGACAGGGCUAUCCCGAGUGCCAUCCGCUGAGGAAGGCUUUUACCCAGUGUAGAUAGCUGGGAGAAUAAGGAGAGGGCAAGACUGGUGUCAGCCGCCGCGGUAAUACCAGCUCUCCGAGUGGUGUGGAUGUUUAUUGGGCCUAAAGCAUCCGUAGCUGGCUGGGCAAGUCCCCUGUUAAAUCCACCGAUUCAAUCGUUGGUGUGCGGGGGAUACUGUUCGGCUAGGGGACGGGAGAGGCCGACGGUAUUUUCGGGGUAGGGGUGAAAUCCUAUAAUCCCGGAAAGACCACCAGUGGCGAAGGCUGUCGGCUAGAACGCGCCCGACGGUGAGGGAUGAAAGCUGGGGGAGCGAACCGGAUUAGGUACCCGGGUAGUCCCAGCCGUAAACGAUGCAGGCUAGGUGUUUGGGCGGCCACGUGCCGCUCUAGUGCCGCAAGGAAGCUGUUAAGCCUGCCGCCCGGGGAGUACGGCCGCAAGGCUGAAACUUAAAGGAAUUGGCGGGGGAGCAC